rnacentral:rRNA from 1 species
UGGGGAAUCUUGCACAAUGGGGGCAACCCUGAUGCAGCGACGCCGCGUGAGCGAUGAAGCCCUUCGGGGCGUAAAGCUCUUUCGACCGGAACGAUAAUGACGGUACCGGGAGAAGAAGCUGCGGCUAACUACGUGCCAGCAGCCGCGGUAAUACGUAGGCAGCAAGCGUUGUUCGGAGUUACUGGGCGUAAAGAGUGCGUAGGCGGUUUUCUAAGUUCGGUGUGAAAUCUCCCGGCUUAACUGGGAGGGUGCGCCGAAGACUGGGAAGCUGGAGUGUGGGAAAGGCAGGCGGAAUUCCUGGUGUAGCGGUGAAAUGCGUAGAUAUCAGGAGGAACACCGGCGGUGUAGACGGCUUGCUAGACCAUAACUGACGCUGAGACACGAAAGCGUGGGUAGCAAACA